rnacentral:rRNA from 1 species
AGGGUGUAAACGCUGCAGACUUGGUGUUGGAGGCCCUUUGGGGGGCAUUCAGUGCCGGAGAGAAGUUGUUAAGUCUGCUACUUGGGGAGUACGUCCGCAAGGAUGGAACUUAAAGGAAUUGGCGGGGGAGCACCACAACAGGUGGAGCCUGCGGUUUAAUUGGAUUCAACACCGUAAAACUCACCAGGGAAGACUGUUACAUGAAGGCCGAGAUGAAGACUCUGCUAGAUUUUCAGAGAGGUGGUGCAUGGCGUCAGUGACU